rnacentral:rRNA from 1 species
AUGAUUGCAGAUUCCGUGAAUCAUCGAGUCUUUGAACGCACAUUGCGCCCCCUGGUAUUCCGGGGGGCAUGCCUGUCCGAGCGUCAUUGCUGCCCAUCAAGCACGGCUUGUGUGUUGGGUCGUCGUCCCCUCUCCGGGGGGGACGGGCCCCAAAGGCAGCGGCGGCACCGCGUCCGAUCCUCGAGCGUAUGGGGCUUUGUCGCCCGCUCUGUAGGCCCGGCCGGCGCUUGCCGAACGCAAAUCAAUCUUUUCCAGGUUGACCUCGGAUCAGGUAGGGAUACCCGCUGAACUUAAGCAUAUCAAUAAGCGGAGGAUCU